GUGGGGAAUAUUGCACAAUGGGCGCAAGCCUGAUGCAGCAACGCCGCGUGAGGGAUGACGGCCUUCGGGUUGUAAACCUCUUUUAGUAGGGAAGAAGCGAAAGUGACGGUACCUGCAGAAAAAGCACCGGCUAACUACGUGCCAGCAGCCGCGGUAAUACGUAGGGUGCAAGCGUUGUCCGGAAUUAUUGGGCGUAAAGAGCUCGUAGGCGGCUUGUCGCGUCGGCUGUGAAAACCCGAGGCUCAACCUCGGGCCUGCAGUGGGUACGGGCAGGCUAGAGUGCGGUAGGGGAGAUUGGAAUUCCUGGUGUAGCGGUGGAAUGCGCAGAUAUCAGGAGGAACACCGAUGGCGAAGGCAGAUCUCUGGGCCGUAACUGACGCUGAGGAGCGAAAGCAUGGGGAGCGAACAGGAUUAGAUACCCUGGUAGUCC
rnacentral:rRNA from 1 species